rnacentral:miRNA from 10 species
AGGUUAGUGCAAAAGUAGUUAGUUUUUGCCAUUACUUUCAAUAACAAAACCUGUAAUUACUUUUGCACCAACUUAAUA